CCUUUGUACACACCGCCCGUCGCUACUACCGAUUGAAUGGUUCAGUGAGGCGUCCGGACUGGCCCCAGGAGGUCGGCAACGACCACCCAGGGCCGGAAAGCUCUCCAAACUCGAUCAUUUAGAGG
rnacentral:rRNA from 1 species